GUUCGAUUAUGGCUCAGAUUGAACGCUGGCGGGAUGCUUUACACAUGCAAGUCGAACGGCAGCACGGACUUCAGUCUGGUGGCGAGUGGCGAACGGGUGAGUAAUGUAUCGGAACGUGCCUAGUAGCGGGGGAUAACUACGCCGAAAGCGUAGCUAAUACACAUACGCCCUUCGAGGGAAAGCGGGGGACCUUCGGGCCUCGCACUAUUAGAAGCGGCCGAUAUCGGAUUAGCUAGUUGGUGGGGUAACGGCUCGCAAAGGCGACGAUCCGUAGCUGGUUUGAGGACGACCAGCCACUGGGACUGAGACACGGCCAGACUCCUACGGGAGGCAGCAGUGGGGGAAUUUUGGACAAUAGAGAGCCUGAUCCAGCCAUCCCGCGUGUGCGAUGAGAGCCUUCGGGUUGUAGAAAGCACUUUUGGCAGGAAAGAAACGGCGGGAUAAUACGCGAUGCAACUGACGAAGCCUGCAGAAUAAGCACCGGCUAACUACGUGCCAGCAGCCGCGGUAAUACGUAGGGUGCAAGCGUUAAUCGGAAUUACUGGGCGUAAAGCGUGCGCAGGCGGUUCAGAAGAAAGAUGUGAAAUCAGAGCUUAACUUUGGAACUGCAUUUUCUUCGGCGAGCUAGAAGGUGUGUCAGAGGAGGUGGAAUUCCGCGUGUGGCAGUGAAAUGCGUAGAUAUGCGGAGGAACACCGGAUGGCGAAGGCAACCUCCUGGGAUAACGCAGCGCUCAUGCACAGCGUAGAGCGACAGGAUUGAAUGCCCUGGUAGUCCACGCCUAAACGAUGUCAACUAGCUGUUGGGGCCUUCGGGCCUUGGUAGCGCAGCUAACGCGUGGGGUCAACCGCCGCAGGGAAGUACGGUCGCAAGAUUAAAACUCAAAGGAAUUGACGGGGACACACAAGCGGUGGAUGAUGUGGAUUAAUUCGAUGCAACAAAAACCUUACCUACCCUUGACAUGUCUGGAAUCCCGAAGAGAUUUGGGAGUGCUCGCAAAGAACCGGAACACAGGUGCUGCAUGGCUGUCGUCAGCUCGUGUCGUGAGAUGUUGGGUUAAGUCCCGCAACGAGCGCAACCCUUGUCAUUAGUUGCUACGAAAGGGCACUCUAAUGAGACUGCCAUUCAAACCGGAGGAAGGUGGGGAUGACGUCGUCCUCAUGGCGCGCAUAUGGGUAGGGCUUCACACGUCAUACAAUGGUCAGGGACAGAGGGUCGCCAACCCGCGAAGGGCAAUCCAAACCCGAUCGUAGUCGGAUCGCAGUCUGCAGCUCGACUGCGUGAAGUCGAAUCCGCUUCAAUAAUCGCGAAUCAGCAUGUCGCGGUGAAUACGUUCCCGGGUCUUGUACACCGCCCACACACCUGUGGGAGUGGGUUUUGCCAAGUAGUAGUUAGCCUAACCGUGGGGCGAUUACCACGGUAGGAUUCAUGACUGGGGGUGAAGUCGUAACAUAAGGU
rnacentral:rRNA from 1 species